rnacentral:piRNA from 1 species
UUUAUUUACUGACUGACUAUG